AUAAUAAACUUAUUUUUAGGUCUGUUGAUGCAUGUUAUGACUCAUCUUCGUUCGUGCUUUUCUUACGAAUGUGUAUAUUGAGAUAAAAAUAAAAUGAAAAUAAAAAUAAGUAAAAAUAUAGAAUGAAAACAAAUGGUGGAUUCAUAUACCAUGUGCGAAUGUCCUCUUGUGUGUGUCAGAGCCACCAAAAUAAUGGAGGUUACUCGACUGUUACAUACACGAGGGGAUAUUGAAAACAUGUCACAUAUAAAACUAAGACAAUUAGAAAACGAUUCAUUAUAAUUAACUUGUAAUAACAUUUGCUUCACCCAAUAACUUCUGAAUUUUUCUUUUAGGUUCAGUUUUGUUUUGUUUUAGAAUAUCACCAUAUAUUUAAUGCCCAGAUGUGCAUAAUUCGGAUGACUCUUAUUCUACCUAGUUUAGAAACUUUUAAUUGCCCUGGCUCAAGAUUCCCCCAUAGACUUGGUGUCAGACGUUGGAUUGUGGCGCUCCUUGGGAGCCUCCGGGCCACCACGCGUUAAUCGACUAAUCGUUCCUGCGGGUUCUGGGGUGGUGACGGUGGAGGUCAAUGGGAGGCUCCGGGAGAAUUCACAAUAACAGGCUCCUUCGGGGAGAAUUCAAGUGGGCCAGGAUUAAAAGGUUGAAUUAAUGUAUCGAUUUGAUGUUGACCAACAAAAAACUAGAUAAUUGUACAUAGGAGUGAUCAAGUGUGGACAACAUCAAAUGCGAACAAUACGUAGAAUAAAUGAAGAUUAGGUCAUCCAAUAUACAUAGAUAGUGUAGGACAAUCGGGUAGUAUAAUGAAGGUAACUGUUGGAACCAGAUACGGUUACAAAGAAGUGAUGUUGAACAUACAAAUUUUAACAUUGUAAUUUCCCUUUUUUCAUCAUUUUGGGUUUAUAAGAUAAGAAAUGGGUUAGCAAUACAUCUGCUCGCCAGGGACAAUAUAGGCUCAAUUUAGAUUCAGAAGUAGUAGGUUAACCUUUCAAAUGCCACUGCUACUGCUGUAACGCUUUGAUACAACGUCAGCGUCUCAUAGUCUGAUAUUUAUUUUUACUCUGAUAAGUUACGGCGCAUCUGACCCAUGAAACAUUUACGGUUUACUGCAUUUAACUACAGCGUGGUCUCAAGACGGCUGCAUAGACCCACAACUAUCGACCUUUGGUUUGGUAUGUACUGGUCUUCAUAUAUCUUCAUAAUGGAUUGGUUUAGGUACAGAUGAUUAAGGAAAGGAACUUCAACUUGGUUGCACUCAGCGUUGUUAGGAUUGGUUAAUUCUAAUGCGCAUAGCUGAAGCAAUGCGCAAGGAGGGAUGUAGUGUGAAUAUUAAAUCAAGGUUGAAAUCAGCUCAGAAUAAGGAAUGGGACACUCAAAACAAAAAUUUAAAAUCCGCACAAGCACUAAAUAGAUCAAUUAUAAUACAAACAUGUUUGAAACGCAUACAAUUUUCAGGUCCUAUGUUUCCAGAAGCAAGGUGAGUACAGUGCAUCACUCUGACACAGCUAACUUUGCAUCUAAUGCUUACGGUUAGAUUCAUGCUUACACUUACAUUUCUAGGGUCCCAUAAUGGACUUCCAUUAGAACAAUUAAAAAUAGAAUUAUAGGAAAUGUUUUUGAACAACUAACUGCUGUACAUGAGUUUGUAUUUCUACAAUAGAAACAAAAGUUCCAGAACCAAAUGCAGACACACCCGAGCCGAUAAACUGCCUCCGCCGAGCAAGGAGCAGUCACAUGAGGAGAUCAAAUAACGGCAGGAGUUGAAUUGGUUCUGUUUUGCUUGUCCACCAUAUAAAAAUUAUGUAUAUAUAUAUUGUUUAGAUAAAUUACAUGUAUCAUAAUCAGCAACACUUCGUUCAGUUUAACAGAUAAAGUUAAAAGGAAUAUGUAUAUAUAUGGAAAUGUUAUUGACAGAGCAAGGAGGGAUAAAUGCGAUAGGCACAACGUGUUGUAGGCCAACUUUAUCCCCAAUAACACAGCUCUGGAUGGGUUGCUGGCAUAAUUACAAUCCCUCAGGUUAGAAUUGGCAGAGAACUCCGGCAUUAAUGACCAUUUCACAGGUUGGAUGGAGAAUAUGUUUGGGAGGUGGAAAAGCAUGAUCCAGUAAGUGCCCGUUGGGGAAUAAAUGCAGAGACCGUGUUAAUUGUCACCGGCUGCCGUUGUAUUCCCUGUGCACGAGGGCUACUGCAUCUGCUGAUCCCCACAGCAGUAGGCGCUACAGAAGCCCCAAGUGCCAUUCAGGCUUACAUGGGGAUCAGAUAUGAUCCGAUGAAAGUGAAUGAUACAUCACCUGAGAGGCCCGACCAUAUCCAGCUGUAAUAUGUAGAAUAGUCAACACCUAUACUAUUCUAGUAGAAGUGCCUGUAUAUAAGAUAAUCAAUAUCCCGGAUUUACUUGAAUAACAC
ensembl:lncRNA